CAGUGUAACAUAUGUGGGUUUCAUGUUGAAAUUGUGAAACAUCAAACAUCAGUUACAUUUCAUUGUCAUAAGGGUUUGAUAAUGAAA